AAAAAACAAAACGCGUGCUAAUGGUAUUGUAUAACGUUUUAAGAAUAUCUCACACUAGGGACCCCGACACCAGUCAGACAAGAAUUUUCUAUCCGUGCUUCUUGUCAAGUUAGAAAAGAAAUUUGGAAUCGAUGCUAAAGAAAAAAGAGAGAAAUACAAAAUCGUGAAAGAACAAAAGAAAGGACACUCACCAAAGAAGAAAAAAAAAAGGCACUGUAAACAUUACUAUAUGUUCAAAAUUUACAUAUCCUGUAUAGAUUGCAAUACAACAUAUGAAAGAAAAGAAAAAAAAAAGUGCUAACUGAAGAACAAGCUAAGUAGUACUAAGCACUAAGCAUUGGCGUUUUUUUUUUUUCAGAAGCAAACAGCACUCUUCAUUUCUUCCCCCCAUAACAUCCAAUCAUAGUAGACAAAAUGCAUGGAAAAAUUUUAAUUUGCUUAAAGUACCUCUACACAAUAAAACCAACCUCAAACCUCAAUCUUAAUCUGCUCAUUUUUUAAACCUUGACUCACUCAAUAAAUAACUAAACAACACAUGACUCAACGGUUGUGGAGAGGAUCUGAUGCAUUGGGAACCUUUCUCUUCUGUGAGAAGUAAACACCAAAAGGGUAACGUGGAUUGAGGUGUUGAUUCGGCUUUUCUUGUUUCUCUGUCAUAUUGUGUGGCUGGUAGUGCUGAUCAACAACAACUGAAGGCUCUUCUUUUUCACCACAGACUAUGAAUGUGAGCAGAACAAAAACCAUGAACCUCUUCAACCCCCCAACAAGAGAGCACUGGUGAAAGUGCAUGUUUUGGUGGCUUCAGAGGAGAGGAGAGCGUGGUAACACUGAUGCAUACAUAUAUUGGGUGCAGUGCAGGUUGAAAAAGUUGGAGGAAUUAAAGGAAAGCAAAGGGCACUUGGAGAUCUGAGAUGAGAGAAAAAAGCUAAUAGGCUUUGUUUGAAGGGAAAAGGUGAUGCAGUGUUUUCAGGAGAGGAACAUUAUUUUCACAACAACUUUUUUUAUUAUAACAAUUUCUUUUUUUAUUAAUAAAUGUGAUAGAAUAAGAAGUCAGUAUUGAUAUCUAUU
rnacentral:lncRNA from 1 species